UCCUCGUUAACCGAGGCAGUCCCCCUAGAGUGCCCGGCCGAACCGGGGGCAACUAAGGGCGAGGGUUGCGCUCGUUGCGGGACUUAACCCAACAUCUCACGACACGAGCUGACGACAGCCAUGCAGCACCUGUCACCCUGUCCCCGAAGGGAAAGCUGCAUCGCUGCAGCGGUCAGGGGAUGUCAAACCCAGGUAAGGUUCUUCGCGUUGCGUCGAAUUAAACCACAUCAUCCACCGCUUGUGCGGGCCCCCGCCAAUUCCUUUGAGUUUUAAUCUUGCGACCGUACUCCCCAGGCGGAUGACUUCACGCGUUAGCUGCGUUACUAAAGGAUUUAACUCCUCCAACAACUAGUCAUCAUCGUUUAGGGCGUGGACUAC
rnacentral:misc_RNA from 1 species